rnacentral:rRNA from 1 species
UAGGGAAUUUUCGUCAAUGGGCGCAAGCCUGAACGAGCAAUGCCGCGUGAGUGAGGAAGGUCUUCGGACUGUAAAGCUCUGUUGCCGGGGAAAAAGGGGAAAUGCAGGAAAUGGCAUUUCAUAGAUGGUACCCGGCCAGAAAGCCACGGCUAACUACGUGCC